rnacentral:rRNA from 1 species
UACGGGGGGGGCAAGCGUUGUUCGGAAUUACUGGGCGUAAAGGGCUCGUAGGCGGCCAACUAAGUCAGACGUGAAAUCCCUCGGCUUAACCGGGGAACUGCGUCUGAUACUGGAUGGCUAGAGUUUGGGAGAGGGAUGCGGAAUUCCAGGUGUAGCGGUGAAAUGCGUAGAUAUCUGGAGGAACACCGGUGGCGAAGGCGGCGUCUGGACUGUAACUGACACUGAGAAACGAAAGCCAGGGUAGCAAACGGG